UACGUAGGGUGCGAGCGUUGUCCGGAAUUAUUGGGCGUAAAGAGCUCGUAGGCGGUUUGUUGCGUCUAUCGUGAAAACCUGGGGCUUAACCCCGGGCCUGCGGUGGAUACGGGCAGACUUGAGUUCGGUAGGGGAGACUGGAAUUCCUGGUGUAGCGGUGAAAUGCGCAGAUAUCAGGAGGAACACCGGUGGCGAAGGCGGCUUUCUGGACAGAUACCGACGCUGAGGCACGAAAGCUAGGGGAGCAAACAGG
rnacentral:rRNA from 1 species